CGCUCCUCCCACCCACAGGCCCAUUCCACUUCCACUUCCGCUUCCGCUUCCGGAGAGAAGAGCCAAGGUGGGUUUAGAAAAGGGCCAGAGCUGUAACCUUAGGCCUGGACAAAGGCCACUCAGGCUGCUGCUGAAGGGCAGGGUUCUGAUGCCAUCCCAACUCCAAAGAGGAGGGAGUGAGCUCGGGUCCUUGGCAGACGCAUUAUUCAUGCCUCCGGUCCCCUCUGUCAGGCCAAUCCAGACUUGACAAAGAUAAAAGGCGCGGCACACGCGUCACUGCACCGUUCGCACCGGCUGCCUUUCCAACAUUUACAGCGUUCACUCACAAGCAGGAGCAUGCUGGUCUGUGUAUUAAUUGCUAUUUAGUAGAGACAGAAUUUGAGGACCCUCAUCUGGGCUUCUGGAUCCUCAGUUACUUGGUGUUCAAUACCUGCUUACUUCUUACUGCUCCUGCCCUGGGAAGGUCAUGGUCACUGUACAGUCCUAUUUAGAUGGAGUCCUAUGAAGAACCAGCAUAAUCAUGGCCUAACUGGAGAGGUGACUUGGACUCACAGAGAAAUAGAAUCAUUUGGUGUGGUUUUCUUGAUGAAAGGACUUGUAAAUGGCUAUUUAAAAAACUCAAGCAAGGCUCAUUCUUGGAUUAAUAUCAAAUAAAUCUUGUGAUUAUAAUUCACCUACAAAGAAAUCAGCUAUCCUUUAAAAGUUCAAACAUAGACAGUAAAAUAAGAAUAAUCAUGUCAUUAGGCUUCAAUUAGAAAAUGUCUCAGGGCAUGGGUUUGUCCACCCACUAGGGUAAUAAGAGCUUUCCUUUCUCAUUUCUAUGUAGUGUGAUUUAGGUAGCACCUAGAAAGCCCCACACAUCCACAAUAUUUUACUGCCCUAGAUAACAAUGUGCCCAGGUUUAUUUAGGAAGGUGUGUUGGGUGAUUUUAUAUGCAAACUUGGCUGGAUCGUAAGUUGCCCAGAUAUUUGGUCAGGCAUUACUCAGGACGUUGCUGUGAGGGUGUUUGUGGAUGAGAUUAACAAUUAAAUCUGAAGACUGAGGAAAGCCAGCUGGCCUCCCCAGUGUGAAUUGGACUCAUCCAAUCAGUCAAAGGCCCAAAGAGAAUGGGGGUUGGGGAGAAGAAGAGAGAGAAAGAGACA
rnacentral:lncRNA from 1 species